rnacentral:rRNA from 1 species
UGCAGUCGAGCGAAUCUUGAGGUGCUUGCACCUCUUGGUUAGCGGCGGACGGGUGAGUAACACGUGGGCAACCUGCCUGUAAGACUGGGAUAACUUCGGGAAACCGGAGCUAAUACCGGAUAAUCCUUUUCCUCUCAUGAGGAAAAGCUGAAAGUCGGUUUACGCUGACACUUACAGAUGGGCCCGCGGCGCAUUAGCUAGUUGGUGAGGUAACGGCUCACCAAGGCGACGAUGCGUAGCCGACCUGAGAGGGUGAUCGGCCACACUGGGACUGAGACACGGCCCAGACUCCUACGGGAGGCAGCAGUAGGGAAUCUUCCGCAAUGGACGAAAGUCUGACGGAGCAACGCCGCGUGAGCGAUGAAGGCCUUCGGGUCGUAAAGCUCUGUUGUUAGGGAAGAACAAGUAUCGGAGUAACUGCCGGUACCUUGACGGUACCUAACCAGAAAGCCACGGCUAACUACGUGCCAGCAGCCGCGGUAAUACGUAGGUGGCAAGCGUUGUCCGGAAUUAUUGGGCGUAAAGCGCGCGCAGGCGGUCCUUUAAGUCUGAUGUGAAAGCCCACGGCUCAACCGUGGAGGGUCAUUGGAAACUGGGGGACUUGAGUACAGAAGAGGAAAGCGGAAUUCCACGUGUAGCGGUGAAAUGCGUAGAGAUGUGGAGGAACACCAGUGGGCGAAGGCGGCUUUCUGGUCUGUAACUGACGCUGAAGGCGCGAAAGCGUGGGGGAGCAAACAGGAUUAGAUACCCUGGUAGUCCACCGCCGUAAACGAUGAGUUGCUAAGUUGUUAAAAGGGUU